rnacentral:lncRNA from 10 species
GAGCACGCGCCCGGCCCCUGCCGUCGGGGGAGGGGAUCAAGGCAGGGCUAGGCGUCCGCGGUCGGAGUGGGGUCUGGCGUCCCGGCGACCGUCGCCGUCGUCCUCGUUAGUAUAGUGUGGACAACUGGAGCACUACAGCCCCCCUUUCUAGGACACCCCUGAAGGACAGCAGUGAAGAGGAAUCUUCCCAGUAAGCAGAACUUUGAGCAGUGCACCUAGUUGUGCACUUUGCAUGGAAGGAGAAAUGGCCAGAUAUGUGAUUAUAUACUGAUUCAUUGGCUGUGGCCAGUGGUUUGGCUGGAUGGUCAGGGACUUGGAAGAAGCAUGACUGGAAAAUUUGUGACAAAGUUGGGGAAGAGGUAUGUGGAUGAACCUCUCUGCGUGGUCAAAAACUGUGAAUACUUUUGUAUUCCAUGUAGGUGCCCACCAACAGGUGACCUCAGCAGAGGAGGAUUUUAAUAAUCAAGUGGAUAGGAUGACCCGAUCUAUGGACACCACUCAGCCUCCUUCCCCAGCCACCCCUGUGAUCGCCCAAUGGGCCCACGAACAAAGUGGCCAUCGUGGCAGGG